rnacentral:rRNA from 1 species
CAGCAGCCACGGGAAUACGUAGGGUGCGAGCGUUGUCCGGAAUUAUUGGGCGUAAAGAGCUUGUAGGCGGUCUGUCGCGUCUGCUGUGAAAACCCGAGGCUCAACCUCGGGCCUGCAGUGGGUACGGGCAGACUAGAGUGCGGUAGGGGAGAACGGAACUCCUGGUGUAGCGGUGGAAUGCGCAGAUAUCAGGAAGAACACCGAUGGCGAAGGCAGUUCUCUGGGCCGUAACUGACGCUGAGAAGCGAAAGCGUGGGGAGCGAACAGGAUUAGAUACCCCUGUAGUCCCUGUCUCUUAUAC